rnacentral:misc_RNA from 1 species
AUUUGAUUUAACUUGAUUUAUGUUUAGAUACGAGCAGCGCAACACGGGUGUGAUCAGGUUCGUGGUGAUCAUGGUGAUGGUCGUGAUCGCUGUCCUGGUGGUGUAUCUCGGAUACAUGUGGGCAGAGCCUAGGUGGAAACUAAAGAAACAGACAACUUAUCAUGCGCAAUUAGAGGAAACGGACGUCCCCCUCACGCGUUCUCAUAAAAGGAUGUCUCUGAAGGACUAUGACGGUGGUAUACUACAGGAGAACGGAGAUCAUGGAUUACUGCCGGAUGUGACAGCGAUCACCUCCCGAACCCGACACCCUGGCCGAGCGAUCCUGCAUCGGGUCGGAGAUCGCCAGGAUCGGUGGAAGCAACAGGUUGAAGUUCAGAGGAAGAAAAUUUACCAGGAUCAUUCAAUUCUAAACUAGAACCUUCUACACAACACGAUUCUAGUUGACAAGGGGAGGAGACACGAGUCACUUAAUUCGAUUCAAAUUAAAUCAAGUCGAUCCACGUCGAUCCAAGUCGAUCCAAGUCGAUUCAAGUCGAUUCAAGUCAAUUCAAGUCGAUUUUCAAGUCGAUUUUCAAGUCGAUUCAAGUCGAUUCAAGUAGGUUUUCAAGUCGAUUUAAGUUGAGACGAAUUGAGACAUGUCGAUAAUUAAGUCGAUUCAAAUUCAAGUCGAUUUAAGUUGGAUUUUCAAGUCGAUCCAUUUCGUGACAUGUUGAUUGUGAAUUCAUGUCAAUUUUAGUCGAUUCAAGUAGAUUUAAGCCGGUAACUGUGUUGACUUAAAUCAGCAGAAGUCGAUUCAAGCUGAUGCAUGUCAAUUCAAGUCGACGUAAAUCUACUUGCAGUCAAAAUCUUUUAAUCUUCCUUCCCGUAUUUCUUCCAACUUUAAAAGUAUAUAUUCAAGGCCUGUUCAUUUAGGUCCCUUUCUAUCUACCUCCUCUUUUAUAUUUUAUAUGUAGAGGAGAAUAUACACCCCUGUUUUUGUGUUUAUCAUUUCCUUUCAACCAGUCUUUGUAUUCAUAUUAUUUAAUGUAUCCUUGUCUACUCUGCAUCAAAAUAUUGUGCAGAGAAGUGUGACUGUUAACGACGACUUUCAAGCAUUGUUUCAGUAUUUCAGUGUUCUGAACACCCUGUAUCCAAUUAUAAUUUUAAAUAUUUUGAUCAUUUGUAAUUUUAUCAAUCCUAGUUGUGACGAUAAUAUAUAUUCUAUUUUAUGGUUUGUAUAAUGGUUACAAG